ACCUUAGAGACCAACUAAGUUUGUUAUUGGUAUGAGCUUUUGUGUGCAUGCACACUUCUUCAGAUGCCAUGCACACGAAAGCUCAUACCAAUAACAAACUUAGUUGGUCUUUAAGGU